rnacentral:rRNA from 1 species
AUGGAAGUUGCAUUAGCUAGCGCUGCCGUAAGUGUUAGCUUAAAAGUGGCCGCAUCUCCAGCCUUGAAGAAGCUGCUUGCUAAUGCUUCAACAUACCUUGGAGUGGAUAUGAUGCGUGAGCUCCAUGAUCUAGAGACCACUAUCAUGCCACAGCUAGAGCUGGUGAUUGAAGCAGCAAACAAGGGAAAUCACAGGCACAAGUUGGACAAGUGGCUUCAGGAACUCAAAGAAGGCUUCUAUAUGGCUGAAGACUUGCUGGACAAACAUGAAUACAAUCUCCUCAAGCGCUUAGCAAAGGGAAAGGAUUCCUUACCAUCCAAUGCCUCCUCCAUCAGCAGCACUUUUAUGAAGCCUCUGCGUGCUGUGUCAAGUAGGCUGUCGAAUCUGAGCUCAGAGAACAGAAAGCUAAUUCAACAGUUAAAUGAACUGAAGGCUACCCUGGCAAAAGCCAAGGAAUUCCGUGAACUGCUCUGCAUACCAGCUGGUUAUAAUGUAGAGAGCUCCACCAUACCAUCAGUUGUUCCUGAGACUACAUCAAUACCACCUCUGAAAGUGAUUGGUCGUAACAAGGAUCGCAACCAUAUGAUAAAUCGUCUUACCAAGACAACAAUUACUACUAAAUCUAGUACACCUAUGUACUCGAGUUUGGCUAUUGUUGGACCUGGAGGGAUCGGAAAGUCCACCUUGGCACAACUUGUUUACAACAGCAAGAGUGUAAAAAAAUAUUUUGAUGUGAGAAUGUGGGUAAGCAUAUCACGCAAACUUGACGUACGCCGUCAUACACGGGAGAUCAUCGAGUCUGCCUCUCAGGGGGAAUGCCCACGCAUUGACAACCUUGAUACAUUGCAGCGCAAGUUGGCAGACAUACUGCAAGACUCAGGGAAAUUCCUCCUUGUGUUGGAUGAUGUUUGGUUUGAACCUGGCAGUGAGGGGGAAUGGGACCAACUGUUAGCACCACUAGUUUCCCAACAGUCGGGAAGCAAAGUUUUGGUAACUUCUCGACGGGAUACAUUUCCAGCUGCUCUCUGCUGUGAAGAAGUGCAUUCACUGAAAAACAUUGGAGAUGCUCAGUUCUUGGCACUCUUCAGACACCAUGCAUUCUCUGGACCAGAAAUAAGAAAUCCGCAGUUGCGUGACAAGCUGGAAGGUUUUGCAGGGAAGAUUGCUAAAAGGCUUGGAAAAUCUCCUUUGGCAGCAAAAGUUGUGGGUUCCCAAUUGAAAGGGAAAACAUGUAUCACAGCAUGGAAGGAUGCUCUUACUAUAAAGAUUGAGAAAUUCAGUGAGCCCGUGAGAGCUCUGUUGUGGAGUUAUGAGAAGUUAGAUCCAUGUAUUCAGAGGUGCUUCCUAUAUUGCAGCUUGUUUCCAAAAGGCCACAAGUAUUUAAUUGAUGAGUUGGUUCAUCUUUGGAUGGCAGAGGGCCUCAUUGAUUCGUGCAACCAAAACAAGAGAGUGGAAGAUAUUGGGAGGGAUUACUUCAAGGAGAUGAUCUCUGUUUCGUUCUUUCAACAAAUUAUUACGGAAAAGGUGACUACUUCAUAUUGGAAAUUUGAGACUCCCACAUACUAUGUUAUGCAUGAUCUCCUUCAUGAUCUGGCAGAAUCACUCUCCAAAGAGGACUACUUCAGAUUGGAAGAUGAUAAGGUGACAGAAAUACCGUCCACUGUUCGACACUUAUCGGUUUGUGUUGAUAGUAUGAAGAUACACAAGGAUAGUAUCUGCAAGCUACAUCAUUUACGCACCAUUAUCUGCAUAGACCCCCUAAUGGAUGAUGUAAGUGGCAUUUUUAAUCAGGUACUACAGUAUUUGAAGAAGUUGCGCGUGCUAUAUUUGUCAUCUUACAGCAGUAGUAAGUUGCCAGAAUCUGUUGGUGAGUUAAAGCACCUUCGGUAUUUGAACAUCAUCAGAACACUGAUAUCUGAAUUGCCAAGAUCAUUGUGUACUCUUUACCACUUGCAGUUACUUCUAUUAAAUGACAAAGUUGAGAGUUUUCCUGAGAAACUCUGUAAUUUAUGGAAAUUACGUCAUCUUGAACAUCGCAAGGAUUGGCAUAAUGAUAUAAUAGACACGUCAUACAAAGAAGCACCACAUCGAAUUCCAAACAUUGGCAAGUUAACUUCUCUUCAACAAUUUGAGGAAUUUGCUGUGCAAAAGAAAAAAGGAUAUGAGUUGCAACAACUAAGGGACAUGAACGAGAUUCGAGGUUGUUUAAGUGUCACAAAUCUUGAGAAUGUCACUGGCAAGGAUCAUGCCUUAGAAUCGAAGCUGCAUCAGAAAAGUCAUCUUGGCAGAUUGCGACUUGUUUGGAGCUGCAAAAAUAACACGAAUGCAGAGGAUAGUUUACAUUUGAAGAUUCUAGAAGGACUGAUGCCACCGCCUCAACUUGAGGAUCUUGUAAUUGACGGUUACAGAUCUUCAAAAUAUCCCGGCUGGUUACUUGAUGCUUCAUAUUUUGAGUUUUUGAAAUCUUUAAGCUUUGUUAAUUGCACUGCAUUACAAAGCCUACCAUCCAAUACUGAACUAUUUAGGAAUUGCUCUUCACUUGUCCUGUGCAAUGUGCUGAACCUUAAGACAUUACCUUGUCUUCCACUAGGCCUUCAAAAGUUACAAAUAGAAAAAUGCCCACUGCUUAUAUUUAUUUCCAAUGAUGAGGUGGAACAUCAAGAGCAGAGAGAAAAUAUCACGAGUAUGGACCACUUGGCAUCACAACUUAUUUUAAUCUGGGAGGUGGAUUCAAGAUCAGAUAUUAGGAGUGUACUCUCAGUGGAACAAUCAUUUCUGAAGCAGCAGAUGAUAUUGAUGCAUGCUGAUGUGUCACAUGUUCAAAAUCUUGAAAUUGCUCUAGAAGUAGAGAAAGAUGAAGUAUUGGUAAAAGAGGAUGUCAUCAAUGCAUGGACAUGCUGUCACGAGCAAAGGAUGAGACUAACAUAUGGAAGGAGCAUGGCGUUGCUGCUGGUUCCGCCAUCAAGACUUCAUGAACUUCAUCUUUCUUCAUGUUGUAUUACAGAUGGAGCUUUAGCUGUUUGCCUUGAUGGCCUGGCAUCAUUGAAAUGUUUGUUAUUAAUCAACAUUAUGACUUUAACUGCACUUCCUUCGGAAGAGGUCCUCCAACAUUUGAAAAAACUGGACUUCUUGUGCAUCGAAGAUUGCUGGUGUCUGAGGUCAUUAGGGGGCUUACGAGUGGCUACCUCUCUUUCAUAUCUUCUAUUGAGUUCCUGCCCUUCUCUAGAGUUGGCACAUGGAGAAGAAUGUUUGCCAUUAUCCCUUGAGAGGCUCACUAUACGGAAUUGCAUGCUUGCAUAUGACUCCCUCUAUAUUGACUGGCCGCAAAUGAAUGAAAUUCAUAUAAGAAAUUGCAGAAGCACCACAUGCUUGUCUGUUGGUGGCCUUGCCUCUAUUAAAUCAUUCAUACUGGCACACUUACCAGAUUUGUGGAUGCUCGAAGGAUUAUCUUCCAUGCGAUUGCACAACUUACAUUUGGUUGAUGUACCGAAACUCAUCCCCGAGUGUAUCUCACAGAUUCGAGUCCAGAGCUCACUCUAUAUUAGCAGCCCCAUGAUACUCAAUAAGAUGUUCUCGGCUGAAGGUUUCAGUGUUCCGGCAUUUCUCUGCCUUCAAGGAUGCAAAAAACCAUUUGUUUCAUUUGAAGAAUUCGCAAAUUUUAAAUCUGUCCAAAGACUGAGAUUCAGUCUCUGUGAAAUGAUUUCCCUGCCAAAAAAUCUGAAGUGCUUCCCCAAUCUAAAUAUGCUCGACAUUGUUAGCUGCCCCAACAUAUCAUCUUUACCAGAUCUGCCAUCCUCCCUCCAUCAGAUAAGCGUAUGGGGUCACUGUGAGCGCUUGAAGGAGAGUUGCCGAUCACCUGAUGGAGAAAGUUGGCCAAAGAUUGCUCAUAUUCGCAGGAAGUACUUUUUAUAA